rnacentral:rRNA from 1 species
UACGUAGGGGGCGAGCGUUGUUCGGAAUUAUUGGGCGUAAAGCGCGUGUAGGCGGUUCGGUAAGGCGGAUGUGAAACCCCUGGGCUCAACCCAGGGCCUGCAUCCGCGACUGCCGGGCUAGAGUGUGGGAGGGGAGAGCGGAAUUCCUGGUGUGAGCGGUGGAAAUGACGUAGAUAUCAGGAGGAACACCGGUGGCGAAGGCGGCUCUCUGGACCAUAACUGACGCUGAGACGCGAAAGCUAGGGGAGCAAACAGG